CACAAACCAAAAUUUCAUUAUCAGAUAAUAAGAAGAUCUCCAAGUGGUAGUACCCCAAUUUGGCAUUUGACAGAUGUAGAGUCAUCAACGAGAGGCUCUUAUCCCUUCGGAUCCUACAAUGGUGGAAAGAUCGAUUAUGUUGACGACUUCAUAAACGAUGAUGAUGAACAAUUAUCAUCUCAAAGUGGAUAAAGUGACAACGAAUAACAAUGAUGAAUCAUGUACUAUGUCAUUAAUUUUCAACGGUUUCCAAGAGUCGGAUGAUCUAUUUCUAGAGUUUGACGAUUUGUUGAAUAACACGAAAGGAUUGACCUCGGUGAGCCAUACUUCAAAUGGCUCUCAACCCAUUCGCACUCUAAGAAGACAUCAGCACUCUCGAAACCCUAUGCUGGAGAGAUACGUAUAGCAGAAUGGGAAGAUCCCAAUAUUAAUCACCUCAAGAGCGAAUAAGCUAAUCUUACCACAUGUUGAUCGGCUCAACAACACCAUCGGUAUGCUUACGCAAGAUACAUUUCAAAUCCGUUGACUUAAGUGGCGUAAUGUUCCUCUAGAGUACAUUGAGGUCAUUAAGGACUGCUUAUAGUAAUGGUUUGUGCUCGAUUUCACAGAUCAAGCACUUACUCAAUUAGUUAAGCAUCAAAUGCUCAGCACAUAGAAAGAGUUCAGGGGAGACAACCAUAGACAUUUCAAGAAGUUCAGCAACCAUGAACAAGCACGUGCCAACCUACCACACAAAUUGGUGAAUCGUGUGGAAGAUUGACACUUCCUCUGCAAUCACAGACUAAUAAAGCUUCUAGGGUGAAACAACCUUACAACCACAGUAGUGGAUCCAAGUUAUUCCUACAACGACAAUAUGAGCUCACUAAACAACGAGGUCAACCAAUGGAUCGUGUGAAGUUGUAUAGAGAAACACAUACAAAUGAAAGUGACUAAUUCAUUUCACAGGCGGCCCUAGAUACACAUUUAUGUUAGCUUCACGAGUGGAAUGAAUGCAAAAGUCGAUAGAAGACUUGACUCAGGCACAACAAGGACAACCCCAUGAUCCUUAGCUUUGCGGACCUAAGGUGUAGAAUGGCGCGUACGAGCCUCGUUAGGAGACGUAUGACUUUGUUUGCAGUUUUUUGUAUUAUGAAAACUACAUUUUUUGUAUUAUGAACAUUAUUAAUUGUGUUUUUUAAACUUAUUAACUAUCUUUCUUUUU